GAUGAACGCUGGCGGCGUGCCUAAUACAUGCAAGUCGAGCGAACGGACGAGAAGCUUGCUUCUCUGAUGUUAGCGGCGGGCGGGUGAGUAACACGUGGAUAACCUACCUAUAAGACUGGGAUAACUUCGGGAAACCGGAGCUAAUACCGGAUGAUAUUUUGAACCGCAUGGUUCAAAAGUGAAAGACGGUCUUGCUGUCACUUAUAGAUGGAUCCGCGCUGCAUUAGCUAGUUGGUAAGGUAACGGCUUACCAAGGCAACGAUGCAUAGCCGACCUGAGAGGGUGAUCGGCCACACUGGAACUGAGACACGGUCCAGACUCCUACGGGAGGCAGCAGUAGGGAAUCUUCCGCAAUGGGCGAAAGCCUGACGUAGCAACGCCGCGUGAGUGAUGAAGGUCUUCGGAUCGUAAAACUCUGUUAUUAGGGAAGAACAUAUGUGUAAGUAACUGUGCACAUCUUGACGGUACCUAAUCAGAAAGCCACGGCUAACUACGUG
rnacentral:rRNA from 1 species